UGGACUAGAUGACCCUCGUGGUCCCUUCCAACUCUACAAUUCUAUAGUUCCGUGUGUGAGAAACUUGCUCUGGAUACAGUGCGAUGCUUUGAAAAAAGAUCUUGCGUCUUUGAGAACAGGCAACUCUGUAAGGCGGAGAAGAAAAGGGAUUGAGAAGGGGAAGGGAAGUAAGAUCACGGUUGCAAUUAUCUCUGUGUUUGCUCAUGAAUAAACCAAAGUAAUCAAAUAUAGAUUUACGAGCAGAAAAAUAGCAUCCCUGAGCCUUGGGUGCAUUACAGCCCUGCUUCAAUUCCACAGAACUUGUCAUUGCUCUCUGCAUCCAAACUUGUCAAUGAAUAGUUUUUUCCACUAGUUUCAUAUGGAUCGUUUCUUGGGAAAUAUUCAUGCAGAUCACAAGAUAUUGUCUCUUGGUUUUUACUCUUACAUACUUGAAACAACAUCUCUCUAGUAGUAGUAGCAGCAGCAGCAGUUGGGGUCUCUGUAGGUGGUUGUUGUUACACCCCCCCCCUUUUCUCCCUUUGACUUUACACUGUUCAUCUUCAGGCUUGUAUUGGAUGCAUUUUGAUGAACAAUUCCUGAAAUGAUGGAUUUAGGCUUUAAAUGAAAUUGUGCUCCAUAAGCUGUGAAACAAAGAUUCAUAACUCAUCCUCAGCGCCACACAUUUUCGGUGAAAAUUAUCUUUCAUGCUUUGAUCUACACUGUAUCAUUUAACUGAGUGUGCUCAUGCACAGUAUCAAUCAAAUCUGCAGAAGGUGCUGGAGAAAACUCAUUGGAGACCCGGAGAAUACAAAUCAUGGACACAUCUGCUGGGGAGAAAGGGGGGAAAAUGAGCCGUAAGUCACAGUUUUAGUCUUGCCCAAUUACAGCUGAACGAUUCCUGUGCAAACGCACAAGAAUGAAGUUCUGAUCUUCCAGGUCUCCAUUUUUGCCAUGAGUCCACAGCACUGGUGGGACCAGACUUUAGUUGGCAGGCCUGAUGCAUGAGGAUGAAGAACUAAGAGUCUGGCCUGAUGGGGACCAGGGUUGGAAAGGGGAGGCUCUUUUGCUUGUUCCUCAACUUGUGCUUCAGAAAGGGGAGCAGGGAUGCAGACUCCGUCCUUCAGGCCUCCCAGAAGAGGGGAGAGACUCAGUGGGGAGAGCUGUGGGCAGCCAAAGGGGAGAAGCAACUCAGGAGCCAGCAGUGAUUGAACAGGAGCCUAAAGAAGAGGAUGCAGUACUGUCACCUAGAGAACCUGACACCACCUCCAUGGAUGGGAGCAGGCCCAACUUGGAAGAGCGUGCUUUUGCAAUCUCAGCAUUCCUGCAAAGUGAGCGAUGUUAGGAUAUCGUUCCAUUCCACCUUAAAAGGGUCAGGCAUGACUGUUGUGUAUCACAUGCCUGUUUACUUCCAGCACAGUCUGCUGGGAACGUCCGUUGUAUGUUGCUUUUGCUAUACUCCUGUUUUGCUGGACACAAAGGGAAGCAGACAUGUUUUUUCCUUUGUUGCUGAACUAUGCUGAAUAAACGCUUGU